AUUGAACGCUGGCGGCAUGCCUUACACAUGCAAGUCGAACGGCAGCACGGGAGCAAUCCUGGUGGCGAGUGGCGAACGGGUGAGUAAUAUAUCGGAACGUGCCCAGUCGUGGGGAUAACGUAGCGAAAGCUACGCUAAUACCGCAUACGAUCUAUGGAUGAAAGCGGGGGAUCGCAAGACCUCGCGCGAUUGGAGCGGCCGAUAUCAGAUUAGGUAGUUGGUGAGGUAAAGGCUCACCAAGCCGACGAUCUGUAGCUGGUCUGAGAGGACGACCAGCCACACUGGGACUGAGACACGGCCCAGACUCCUACGGGAGGCAGCAGUGGGGAAUUUUGGACAAUGGGCGCAAGCCUGAGUCCAGCAAUGCCGCGUGCAGGAUGAAGGCC
rnacentral:rRNA from 1 species